GAAGGUAGCGUAAUCAUUUGUCUUUUAAAUAGAGACCUGUAUGAAUGGCAUAACGAGGGUUUAACUGUCUCCCUCCCCCAGUCAAUGAAAUUGAUCUGCCCGUGCAGAAGCGGACAUAAACACAUAAGACGAGAAGACCCUAUGGAGCUUUAGACAAAAGAUCAAACAUGUAAAGAAACCAAACCAACCAAAAGGAACACAAAGGCCACAAAACCCAACGUAAAAUGAUCAAAAUGUCUUCGGUUGGGGCGACCAUGGGGGAAAGAAAAGCCCCCACGAGGAACUAAGGGCAAUCCAUUAAACCAAGAGAUACACCUCUAAGCAACAGAAAAUCUGACCAAAAAUGACCCAGGACACUAAUCCUGAUCAACGAACCAAGUUACCCUAGGGAUAACAGCGCAAUCCUUUCCCAGAGUCCAUAUCGACGAAAGGGUUUACGACCUCGAUGUUGGAUCAGGACAUCCUAAUGGUGCAGCCGCUAUUAAGGGUUCGUUUGUUCAACGAUUAA
rnacentral:rRNA from 1 species